GAUGAACGCUGGCGGCGUGCCUAAUACAUGCAAGUCGAGCGAACAGAUGAGGAGCUUGCUCCUCUGACGUUAGCGGCGGACGGGUGAGUAACACGUGGAUAACCUACCUAUAAGACUGGGAUAACUUCGGGAAACCGGAGCUAAUACCGGAUAAUAUAUUGAACCGCAUGGUUCAAUAGUGAAAGACGGUUUUGCUGUCACUUAUAGAUGGAUCCGCGCCGCAUUAGCUAGUUGGUAAGGUAACGGCUUACCAAGGCGACGAUGCGUAGCCGACCUGAGAGGGUGAUCGGCCACACUGGAACUGAGACACGGUCCAGACUCCUACGGGAGGCAGCAGUAGGGAAUCUUACGCAAUGGGCGAAAGCCUGACGGAGCAACGCCGCGUGAGUGAUGAAGGUCUUCGGCUCGUAAAACUCUGUUAUUAGGGAAGAACAAAUGUGUAAGUAACUAUGCACGUCUUGACGGUACCUAAUCAGAAAGCCACGGCUAACUACGUG
rnacentral:rRNA from 1 species